rnacentral:rRNA from 1 species
GUCCACGCCCUAAACGAUGUCAACUAGUCGUUCGGAGCAGCAAUGCACUGAGUGACGCAGCUAACGCGUGAAGUUGACCGCCUGGGGAGUACGGCCGCAAGGUUAAAACUCAAAGGAAUUGACGGGGACCCGCACAAGCGGUGGAUGAUGUGGAUUAAUUCGAUGCAACGCGAAAAACCUUACCUACCCUUGACAUGUCUGGAACCUUGGUGAGAGCCGAGGGUGCCUUCGGGAGCCAGAACACAGGUGCUGCAUGGCUGUCGU